UUAGUGUUGGCUUGUCAGUUACCGCCUUUGCUUCCUUAAUGGCGGCACGAAUCUCAUCAUAGCCAUCGUUUCCAUUCUUAACCCAGAUUGUAUGCCACCCAAGAGCCUCAAAGCGAGCACUCACAUCCUCAGUGAAUGCAAUCUCUGUGUCUCCGUCAAUGGAAAUGUGGUUGUCAUCAUAGAAUGCAAUCAGCUUGCCAAGACCCCAAUGGCCAGCCAACGAGCAAGCUUCAUUGG
rnacentral:misc_RNA from 1 species